ACGGCCGUACCAUGCUGAAUAUACCGGUUCUCGUUAGAUCACCGAAGUCAAGCAUCAUUGGGCGCGGUCAGUACUUGGGUGGGUGACCACCUGGGAACACCGUGUGCCGUU
rnacentral:rRNA from 1 species